rnacentral:rRNA from 1 species
UUUCCUACGGGGCGCAGCAGUGAGGAAUAUUGGUCAAUGGCCGCAGGGCUGAACCAGCCAAGUCGCGUGAGGGAUGACGGUCCUAUGGAUUGUAAACCUCUUUUGUCAGGGAGCAAAGGGCGCCACGUGUGGCGUUUUGCGAGUACCUGAAGAAAAAGCAUCGGCUAACUCCGUGCCAGCAGCCGCGGUAAUACGGAAGGUCCGGGCGUUAUCCGGAUUUAUUGGGUUUAAAGGGAGCGUAGGCCGGCUUUUAAGUCAGCUGUGAAAGUCCGCGGCUCAACCGUGGAAUUGCAGUUGAAACUGGG